GGGACACGUGGUAUCCUGUCUGAAUAUGGGGGGACCAUCCUCCAAGGCUAAAUACUCCUGACUGACCGAUAGUGAACCAGUACCGUGAGGGAAAGGCGAAAAGAACCCCGGCGAGGGGAGUGAAAAAGAACCUGAAACCGUGUACGUACAAGCAGUGGGAGCACCCUUUUGGGUGUGACUGCGUACCUUUUGUAUAAUGGGUCAGCGACUUAUAUUCUGUAGCAAGGUUAACCGAAUAGGGGAGCCGGAGGGAAACCGAGUCUUAAUUGGGCGUUAAGUUGCAGGGUAUAGACCCGAAACCCGGUGAUCUAGCCAUGGGCAGGUUGAAGGUUGGGUAACACUAACUGGAGGACCGAACCGACUAAUGUUGAAAAAUUAGCGGAUGACCUGUGGCUGGGGGUGAAAGGCCAAUCAAACCGGGAGAUAGCUGGUUCUCCCCGAAAGCUAUUUAGGUAGCGCCUCGUGAAUUCAUCUCCGGGGGUAGAGCACUGUUUCGGCUAGGGGGCCAUCCCGGCUUACCAACCCGAUGCAAACUGCGAAUACCGGAGAAUGUUAUCACGGGAGACACACGGCGGGUGCUAACGUCCGUCGUGAAGAGGGAAACAACCCAGACCGCCAGCUAAGGUCCCAAAGUCAUGGUUAAGUGGGAAACGAUGUGGGAAGGCCCAGACAGCCAGGAUGUUGGCUUAGAAGCAGCCAUCAUUUAAAGAAAGCGUAAUAGCUCACUGGUCGAGUCGGCCUGCGCGGAAGAUGUAACGGGGCUAAACCAUGCACCGAAGCUGCGGCAGCGACACUGUGUGUUGUUGGGUAGGGGAGCGUUCUGUAAGCCUGUGAAGGUGUGCUGUGAGGCAUGCUGGAGGUAUCAGAAGUGCGAAUGCUGACAUAAGUAACGAUAAAGCGGGUGAAAAGCCCGCUCGCCGGAAGACCAAGGGUUCCUGUCCAACGUUAAUCGGGGCAGGGUGAGUCGACCCCUAAGGCGAGGCCGAAAGGCGUAGUCGAUGGGAAACGGGUUAAUAUUCCCGUACUUGGUGUUACUGCGAAGGGGGGACGGAGAAGGCUAUGUUGGCCGGGCGACGGUUGUCCCGGUUUAAGCGUGUAGGUGUGUGUUCCAGGUAAAUCCGGUU
rnacentral:rRNA from 1 species